rnacentral:rRNA from 1 species
UUCCGUGUCCUGUGACCGGAACGUAUUUAUUAGAUAUUAGACCAAUCGCAGCAAUGUGAUUGAGAUGAAUCAAAGUAACUGAUCGAAUCGUAGCUUGCUACGAUAAAUCAUCUAAGUUUCUGCCCUAUCAGCUCUCGAUGGUAGUGUAUUGGACUACCAUGGCAGUCACGGGUAACGGAGAAUUAGGGUUCGAUUCCGGAGAAGGAGCCUGAGAAACGGCUACUACAACUACGGUUCGGCAGCAGGGAAGAAAAUUGGCCAAUCCUAAUUCAGGGAGCCAGUGACAAGAAAUAGCAAGCUGGGAAACUAAGUUUCUACGGCAUUGAAAUGAGAAAAGUGUAAAUCUCUUAGCGAGGAACAAUUGGAGGGCAAGUCAUGGUGCCAGCAGCCGCGGUAAUUCCAGCUCCAAUAGCGUAUAUUAAAGUUGUUGCAGUUAAAAAGCUCGUAGUUGAACUUCUCUUCAGGUUCAUUUCGACUCGUCGAGUGAAACUGGAAAUACGUCUGCAAACUAAAAUCGGCCUUCACUGGUUCGACUUAGGGAGUAGGCAUUUUACUGUGAAAAAAUUAGAGUGUUUCAGGCAGGUUUUAGCCCGAAUACAUUAGCAUGGAAUAAUGGAAUAGGACUAAGUCCAUUUUAUUGGUUCUUGGAUUUGGUAAUGAUUAAUAGGGACAGUUGGGGGCAUUAGUAUUUAAUAGUCAGAGGUGAAAUUCUUGGAUUUAUUAAGGACUAACUAAUGCGAAAGCAUUUGCCAAAGAUGUUUUCAUUAAUCAAGAACGAAAGUUAGGGGAUCAAAGACGAUCAGAUACCGUCGUAGUCUUAACUAUAAACUAUACCGACUCGGGAUCGGCUGGAAUAUAUGUCCAGUCGGCACCGUAUGAGAAAUCAAAGUCUUUGGGUUCUGGGGGAAGUAUGGUACGCAAGUCUGAAACUUAAAGGAAUUGACGGAACAGCACACCAGAAGUGGAACCUGCGGCUUAAUUUGACUCAACACGGGGAAACUCACGAGCGCAAGACAGAGAAGGGAUUGACAGAUUGAGAGCUCUUUCUUGAUUCUUUGGGUGGUGGUGCAUGGCCGUUCUUAGUUGGUGGAGUGAUUUGUCUGGUUAAUUCCGUUAACGAACGAGACCUUAACCUGCUAACUAGUCUGCCUGUGAACAACAGGUUGUACUUCUUAGAGGGACUAUUGUGCAAGAAGCCAAUGGAAGUUUAAGGCAAUAACAGGUCUGUGAUGCCCCUAGACGUGCUCGGCCGCACGCGCGUUACAAUGACUGGCGCAGAAAGUAUUCCCUGUCCUGGGAAGGUACGGGUAAUCUUAUUAAUACCAGUCGUGUUAGGGAUAGUUCUUUGGAAUUUUGGAUCUUGA